rnacentral:rRNA from 1 species
UUGGAGGGCAAGUCUGGUGCCAGCAGCCGCGGUAAUUCCAGCUCCGAAUAGCGUAUAUUAAAGUUGUUGCAGUUAAAAAGCUCGUAGUUGAAUUUCGGGGUUAGUAGGUUGGUCAUGCCUCUGGUAUGUACUGGUCUCACUGAUUCCUCCUUCCUUAUGAACCGUAAUGCCAUUAAUUUGGUGUUGCGGGGAAUUUGGACUGUUACUUUGAAAAAAUUGAGUGUUUAAAGCAAGCUAACGCUUGAAUACAUUAGCAUGGAAUAAUGAAAUAGGACG